rnacentral:tRNA from 1 species
GGGGGUGUAGCUCAGAUGGGAGAGCGCUACAAUCGCACUGUAGAGGUCAGGGGUUCGAAUCCCCUCACCUCCA